CAAACCAAACACAAAAAUGAAAUGAAUCUUUCAUUUUAUUAAUUCCUACAAAUACAAUUUUAUAUUUUUUUGUUUUGGGGUUUGAACUUGAAACCCUCCAACCCUUUUUUAUUUUCUGUUCUUGUAUGGGUUUUGGAAACUUCACUAGUGAGAAGCUUGAAAAUUGAACAUGGGUCAAAUUUUUCAUCUGGAGACAAAGGAUUCUUCACCCUUGAUGAAGAGAGAGAAGAAAGGAAAAAGAAAUUUUAUAUUUUCUAUAAUGCCAAAUUUAUGAAAUAUGAACUAUAUACUAUGGAAACGAGUGGCUGAGAAGAAAUACAAAUUUCCCUUUAAUUCAUGGAUUUGAUCUAAUAUGAGAAAAAGUACCAAUCAGUCAUUCAACCAAUAACUCUAUCAAAAUACUAAUCUGAAGAAACUAAGUAUGGUCUGUGUUGGCAAGAAUUCUUUAGAAAAGUUCACAAAUUUCUGCAAGUUUGUAUGAUUAAGGGACAAGAUUGGUGAUUAGGUUUUGUGCAAAACUCUCCUUUGUGGUUUUGGGCCUAAAUUAAAACCCAUAGAUAAAGUUUGCCAUUCCUCACUUGGGAAAUUAGUUGCCUCCCUUAAAAUAGCUGGCCUUGUGCUGAAAUUGGAAACUUCCUCAAAUCUCAAAAAUCUUCCUCAGGAUUCUAGCAGGAUUCUAGCAGAAUUCAGUAGGGUACACUUUUCUGUGGUUUCAACAACACGAGUGCCAAUCCCAAUAUUUCUCAGUCUCUUAGAAAGCUGUCCAGGUGUCGGGCCAAGUAUUGAUUUAACCUUUCAUCCCAUUUGGGGCCACUAAAUAUAGUAGAAAGGAUUAUUGUUAAGGAAAGAGGGUGGCUGAAACGACAGGGAAAUGAACAAAAAUACCUUGUGGUAUUUCUCUCUUCUAGGUUUGAUAAAAUAAAGUGCCCAACAUGUAUGGCUACCUCCGUUUGAUUAACUGGUCCUUGCCCCAAGAUUCAUGGCUUUACACCAGUAUAGGAAAAUACUGAAACAAAAUGGGUUUUGCUUGAAAUAUCACUAUUCAUGUCACACCACGUUAUAGAAAUAUUUGCAAAUUUGGGAACUUGGACUACGAAAUUAAUAAUUUUUAUUACACUUUCUAUAUUAUAUUAUAUUCUAUGUUUA